AAUUAGUUUAGACAUCAUUGCAUCUUUUCUAUCUUGAUAUUCUUAAAUAUGUAUUUUUGAAGUGUUGAUGUCAUUGCAUCAUUGGACAAUAUAUCAAAAUUUCUAAUCCACAGGUCACGCUUGGCAAUUCUUAAGGUAUAAGAGCUAGCCACUUCUAGUUUCUGAAUUAGAGGAAUUUGAUGGAAUGGAAACUUUUCCUGAAUGUUUAGGACCUUUCAACUGUUCAACUAUAGAGUCUUCACAAUUGCAAGAUCUAAAUGUAUCUUCCCACGGCACACGAGCCAUGCAAUGCCUCACUUUAUUAGAAGAACUUAUUUGUCAUUGCCCCUAAUUAAAGGAAAAAUGUGCAAAGGGGAGCAGUGCAGAGAGGUCCAAGAUUUGCCAUAAUCCAAAAUUUUGCAUCAAUGAAUGCAUUAAACAAGCAAUUUGAAGAUCAUAUUCAUUGUUAAGACAGAUGUCCAGUAAGUUUUCUCCUAGCUCAUCCUCUCUUCUUCUCUUAUAGCUUACUUUAUAGUUUAUAUCGACCUAAGAAUAUUUUCGUAAUUGCUCCCAUUUUUUUCUCUCUUCAGUUUCCCUAAAUCUUUUUGUGUUUGGUUAUUUUCUAUUUAAUGAGUUCAAUAUGUUGCCUCAACGUGCAAAUACUAGGGAUGGCGUAUCUAUUGUGUUCAGCUGGAGAACAAUUAAUUACAUUAUGGAUUUUUAAUAUACUCCUAAGCUAGGGGAAGUUUAUAAGAGUUAGUAAGUUUACUCAGAUCUUCUCCUCUUGUCUAAUAUAUGAAUUAUAAAUUCAAUCCAAUAAGUAUGUCAUUUGUGGUAAUUAUCCUCUCUUCCCUCUCACUUUUCUAGUUUUCCUACAAAUCCUUUGAACCUGUUACUUAUUAUAUUUUCCAUCUUGAUAUUCUGAUAGAUGUAGUUUUCAAGUGUUGAUGUCAUUGUAUCAAUAUUUGUAACCCACAGGUAACACUUGACAAUUUGACAUAUAAGAGCCAAAAGUAAUUUCUGAUGUAUCAGAGAAUUCUUUUCAAAUCCCAAGGAUACCUCACAUACCACAAUCCAGGAGUCUAACCUUCUUUGGUGAUCUAAGUUGUUGGGCCAACUUUGGCACCUAUAUGUCCUUUGUUGGAGGCAUUAAAUUUGUGAUGAUGUUAGAGCCUUUCCAGAUGUGUUGGGGAAACUUUUCAUCUCUUCAAAAACUGAAGUUCAGUUACAAGAACUGCUACUACCUACCAACAAAGCAAGAAGUGAGAUCCCUUUCCAUGUGGUGUUGAAUGAAAGUUUGCCAGAGUGAUUGAGUAGUGGGAGUGGCCCAUUGGUGGAAUAUUGUUGAUAGUCCAAGAAUCACAAUAGAGGGAAUUCUAAAUUGAUUCCAUUGCAAUUAUGUCAUCGAAAUUUCAAACCAAUAGGUGAGGCCAUGGAUUUUCCUGUGCUUAUGGAAUAGUUGCUUCUAUCAAAUGACUUCAACAGCUUAUUGGAUCAUGCGGUGGACAUCUAUAGAUUAUAUUGUUAUCAUGUGCAGGAAAAUGCAAUUGAGACAAUGUCUAUUGUUUCCAGCUAGAGGAACAAUUUAUUAUAAUUGCUAGCAGACGUACAAGGAGGAAGCUGGAAUGGGGGCAACUUUGAGUAUGAAUUCGACGAAUUCAAGGCAAUUGGCCCUAACUGGAGGAGAGCUAUGCAUAACAAAAGGCAAUCCCUAAGUGUAUCCAAGCUUUGUUAAAAAGUCUGCUUCCUUGUUCCCUUUACGUUAGGAAUGAUUUAGCUGGAGAUGGGAUAUCAAGCUUGUGAGGGGCCACUAGUCUCUAACCAUACCAGCAUAAAACUUUGUUGAAGUAACAGUAUCAGUAAAGUCAUGGAUGUAUGUAUAAUCCUAUAAUAAAAUUCGUUACCUUUUCUUAAUUAAAAAAAAGUGCUAGUUGAGCUACUAGACUCUUGGCAUGUUGGUGAAUUGUUUGUUUAAGUUUGAAGUGGAAUUAAUUUAUGACUGCUGAUAAUCUGGUUGAUAUGAACAAAUUUGGGUGAAGAGUUGGUUGGGGAAAACCAAGAAUCUCAUGAGGACUAGACCAAUUUGUAACUUUACCUUUCUUCCAACCUUUGGUCCAUUGGUCAUAAUUUUUUUUUUCCCGUAAUGUUAUGUUUUCAUUUUCCCCAGCUAAAGUUUGAC